UGCGUAGGUGGUUUCUUAAGUCAGGAGUGAAAGGCUACGGCUCAACCGUAGUAAGCUCUUGGAACUGGGAAACUUGAGUGCAGGAGAGGAAAGUGGAAUUCCUAGUGUAGCGGUGAAAUGCGUAGAUAUUAGGAGGAACACCAGUAGCGAAGGCGGCUUUCUGGACUGUAACUGACACUGAGGCACGAAAGCGUGGGGAGCAAACA
rnacentral:rRNA from 1 species